UAUAGUCAAUUUUUUAUUUUCAGAUAUGAAGUUAUUUGUCUAGUCUAAUAUCUAUUAUUACUCGUCUCAUAUUACUAGUCUUUGCAUUUUGUAUUUUUCACUGUUUACUGUUCUUGGAAGGGCUAGAAGAAUUAGAAGCCUACAUGUUUCAUUUAGUUGGAAAAAUGAUUUAAGUAACUCUUUCAAAGAACAAGUUGGAGAUUUGAAUGAAGACAGAAAAGAAUGGAACAACAGAGGGUAAGACCAUGAGGUGUUUGUUGUUGGUUCUAGAACUGUGUUGCUAAUGCGUAUACUGCAAAAUAGCAGGUGAAAAUGUUCUAUAAAACAAAUCCAUCAAUUAUUUAGAAUAAAAUCUCCCCAAUGCAAAUUUUAUUAGGGAUGAGAACCAACUAUUAGAUUCUGAAUAUGAAUAUAUAUAUAUAUAUGAACAUACAUAUAUGUACAUGUAUAUAAAUAUAUAUGUAUUCAUGUUCACAUAUUGCUGAAUAGGUAGGAGUGAUAGAAGUUGCACUUUAAAGGCCUAUUUCUCUCUAGUAGAAAAAUAUCUAGGACAAAGUAUUCCAAAGUGCAAAAUUAGGUUUAUCUGUCUACAAAUGUAAAAGAGGUAGGUCUUGAGGCAAACCAGAAGUACUUGCAAAUGGGUGGAAAAAGAAGGUGAGAGAAUUUGACUUCAGUGCAGGUAGAGGCUGCUCCAUAAGGGGUUCAAAUGCUUGGGAGCUUUGACACCACAGGGAUGGAUGAGAGGCAGAGAGGGUGUAUUUCCAGGAGACAGGGAUAACGUCUCCUAAAGCCUACAUCUUCAAAAAGUCUCACCAGUCAAGAGAGAAAUGAAAAGGAGUUCUUUUUGUGAAAAUACACUCAAUGCAGAAAAAAAAAUUUUUUUCCCCUACACCACGCCUUGUCCUUUUUCUUCCAGGACACUCAGGUAGAAUUCAAAACAGUUUCUGUAAAAGCAAGUGCAGUUUGUUAUCAUCUACAAUGGAUUUUCAGAUGAUUCAUUUUAUUUGCCCGAAGUAGAAUGGUCAAAAGGAAAGUUAUUCAGUCUGAGAAGAGACAGACAAAAUCUAGCAUGAGGAACAAAAAAAAGUUCUGGCUUUCCAGUACUUGGCUCGUGGAAACUAUACCAGACCAACUCCCUGUCUCACCUCUGAUGGAUUAAGAACAUUCUAAACACUUAAUUUGUGAGGUAGUUUCAUUUUUACUAAGGUAAAUGUUCCACCCAGAAGUAGAAAUUGAAACUAGUACUCAUACCUAUUUUAGAACAGCAUAAGUGGAUAAAUGAUGUAGUCUGGUUUAUUUUUUCCAUUUUUUUUUAAUUUUUUAUCCUGUCCACUUUACUCCAGUCCGAAAUUGUAGUCUAUUGGAGCAGUGUGAUGUUUUGAACACCUCAGUAGAGUACUUUAUAAAUAUUUAUACAGCUUUCAGAUAGCAGUGAGCUGAAGUCCUCUCUAUCCGUGGAGCUAAAAACAAUUUAAAAUGCCAUUUAUCCAACGGCUUUGCUGCAAAGCGUUAUUUUGCGCUUUUUUGCUGGGUUUUGUUGUGUUUAUGAAACAAGUUCGAGUACUCUACUGCCAGUUGGGAGGAUUUGGAACUCCAAAUAAGAUGCCCUAAUGAUGUACACAAGCUCAAACUUCAGGGGCUGCUUUGGUCUGACCAUCAUCUGUUCUGUUCUGUAGUGAGGUGUUCAAUGUGAGUGAAUGUUGCCAUGAGUGGUAAGCAAGUAGGAAUUCUGUGUGCUCUGGAAGACACUAUUGAGGAUGAAGAGAGAAAAUGUGUAUGUAUCAGUGUGGACCUCAAAGUUUUCAUGGCUGUAGAGGCAGAAAGGGUGUAUUUCCAGGAGACAGGGAUAACGUCGCCUAAAGCCUACAUCUUCAAAAAGUCUCACCAGUCAAGAGAGAAGUGAAAAAGAGUUCUUUUUGUGAAAAUAAACUCAAUGCAGAAAAGAAAAGAUACUGAUCUUUUUCUUUAGUCCCAGCCAUUUUGUACAUCUUCAUGAAUAAUAAACCUUUUUUUUUAUUAUGAUAAGUCAUAAUAGUCUAUAUGAUAAUAAUGUUCUAUCAUUAUCAUUAUGAUGAUUACAUAAAAUGCUAUGUUUUGUUUUACACCAUGAAGCCAGUAUGUAUAUUCUCCUUGUUCAGUAAAUCUAACAUUAGCACUAAUAAAUUGUGACUUUAAUUCAAAUCCAGA